UACGGAGGGUGCGAGCGUUGUCCGGAAUCACUGGGCGUAAAGGGCGCGUAGGCGGCCCGGCAAGUCUGUGGUGAAAGCUCAGGGCUCAACUCUGAGUCGGCCACGGAUACUGCGGGGCUCGAGCACGGUAGAGGCAGGUGGAAUUCCGGGUGUAGCGGUGGAAUGCGUAGAGAUCCGGAAGAACACCGGUGGCGAAGGCGGUUCUCUGGGCCUGUACUGACGCUGAGGAGCGAAAGCGUGGGGAGCGAACAGG
rnacentral:rRNA from 1 species